GACAUGGUUGUCUAGUGGCAGACCACUGCGUACCCUGUAGAACCGAGCUUGUGUCGUGUUUAGAUAUCACAAGCCUAGUCUACAGUGUUCACAGGAUCCGCCCCUUCAUCAGACAUUGUGU
rnacentral:pre_miRNA from 10 species